AUGGCCUUUUGAGUAUGAUUUAAGGUCUAACCUGCCCAAUGAAAAUUUAAAUGGCCGCGGUAUUUUGACCGUGCAAAGGUAGCAUAAUCAUUAGUUUUUUAAUUGAAAGCUGGAAUGAAAGGUUGAAUGAGAAAAUAACUGUCUCUAUUUAAAUUAUUUAGAAUUUUAUUUUUAAGUUAAAAAGCUUAAAUUUAAAUAAAAGACGAGAAGACCCUAUAGAGUUUUAUUUUUUUUUGUAUAAUAAUUUUUGGUAUUUAUUUUUUUAUUAUAUAAAAAUUAAUUUAGUUGGGGUGAUUGAAAAAUUUAAUAAACUUUUUUUAUUUUUAAACAUUUAUUUAUGAUUAUUUGAUCCUUUAUUUAAGAUUAAAAGAUUAAAUUACCUUAGGGAUAACAGCGUAAUUUUUUUAGAGAGUUCUAAUCGAAAAAAAAGAUUGCGACCUCGAUGUUGGAUUAAAAUAAAAUUUUGGUGUAGAAGCUAAAAAAUUUGGGUCUGUUCGACCCUUGAAAUUUUACUUGAUCU
rnacentral:rRNA from 1 species